rnacentral:rRNA from 1 species
AUUGAACGCUGGCGGCAGGCCUAACACAUGCAAGUCGAGCGGAUGAAGGGAGCUUGCUCCUGGAUUCAGCGGCGGACGGGUGAGUAAUGCCUAGGAAUCUGCCUGGUAGUGAGGGAUAACGUCCGGAAACGGGCGCUAAUACCGCAUACGUCCUGAGGGAGAAAGUGGGGGAUCUUCGGACCUCACGCUAUCAGAUGAGCCUAGGUCGGAUUAGCUAGUUGGUGGGGUAAAGGCCUACCAAGGCGACGAUCCGUAACUGGUCUGAGAGGAUGAUCAGUCACCCUGGAACUGAGACACGGUCCCGACUCCUACGGGAGGCAGCAGUGGGGAAUAUUUGACAAUGGGCGGAAGCCUUAUCCAGCCAUGCCGCGUGUGUGAAGAAGGUCUUCGGAUUGUAAAGCACUUUAAGUUGGGAGGAAGGGCAGUAAGUUAAUACCUUGCUGUUUUGACGUUACCAACAGAAUAAGCACCGGCUAACUUCGUG